UUCACCUGCAGCUUUGUGACUUUGUUUCGGGGUCGGAAUUGAUGGACUGGCUGCCGGAGUCACCCGUGUCUGCAAUCUCCUGGUCACCUAACUUCUCAAUCUGAAUGAGUUUGAGAACCAGGAAACGCCCCAGGUUUUGAGAUCACCAGCCAAAAUGAAGAAGAGAAUUUAAAGGAAAAAAUAUCUGGGGAAGUGGGAACAUGUGUGAAUAUAUCACAGAAGCCUAAAGAACACUUUCAGAAUUUGAAAGGAGGAAGAGCCUGUGAGAAUGAGAAUAUGUUAGAAACUUCUCUGUUAGAGAAAUGGGGGAAACUAAAUCUCUAGAAAAGAAGCUUCAAGGAUCAUCUUGUACAUAUGAUUUUCCACCAAAAAAUUUCUGUAGAAGAAAAUAACUUUACAUGUACUGAAUGUGGGAAGAGUUUCAACCAGAGUUUUGAGCUUACACAGCACAGGCAAACACACACAAUGGAGAAACACUUACAUAAAUUUCAAGUCUGUGGGAAAAUAUUCAUGUAAAUCUCAUACCUUAUUCAACACCAGAGAAUUCAUAAAGAAAAAAAAAACAUGAAUGCAGUGAAUGUGGAAAACUUUCAGUUGGAGUUCCAAUCUUAUUCAACACCAGAGGUACCAUAUAGAAAAUAAAGCUUAUAAAUGGAAUGAAUGUGGAAAGAGCUUUCAUGAGAAUAUAGAUCUUACUCAACAUCAGAGAAACUACCUGGGAGAAAAGUCCUAUGAAUGUAAUAAAUGUGAGGAAAUUUUUAACUAGAGCUUCAAUCUUAUCAAUAUGAGACAAACCAUAUAAGUGAAAAAUCCCAUAAAUUCAGUGAUUGUGGGGAAAGCUUCAGUCAGAGCUCUGACCUGAGGAAACAUUGGCAAACUUAUAUUGGAAAGAAACUUCACAAAUGGAGUGAAUGUGGAAAAUGUUUCAGCUGAAACUCAGACCUCAUCAUGUAUAUAUGAGGGAGAAACUCUAUGAAUGCAACUAUUGUGGGAAAAGCUUUAGCAAAAGCUCAAAUCUCAUUCAGCAUCAGUGGCACUGUCAUGUGGCACAAUCACCAGGUACCAGUCCCAACUUCGAUACUUCUGAUCCUGAUUUUUCUACUGCCUCACCUACUAGAAAGGAAAAAGUGAUAGAGUGAGAAGGGAGACCUUUAUUUGGAACAUGAAGUGGAAUUUACUUGAUUCUCUCUCUUUUCCUCCUCCCCACUACUGAGAAGGCAUUUGUGAAGUUAAGCAAGACAUUUCCAAAGAAGUGAUGUUGUAAAAGAAAAUAGAGAUUCCCCCCCCAAAAAAAACCCCAAGAAAAAUAAAAUAAACUUCAAUCUGCAAGCAAUUCAUCUAAAAUUACUUUAGUGAAUCAUAAGCUCAUAAUGAAUCAGUGUGUGAUUUAGCAGCCAAAAAAAUUAUUGCAGCCUUAGGGCUGCAUUAAAUGAUGAACAUCAAAAU